rnacentral:lncRNA from 10 species
CUCAUCCUUACUCCCCAGGGUUGGGGCUGGGUGGGAGGGAGGCAGGCAGGGAGAGAGGAUAUCUUUUUCAUUCAUUACAUUAGAAUAACUUCUUUUCCAUGCUGAAAGCUUAAUGAUUUGUUUUCUAGGUCACCUCAAAAUGUCCCCAAGCCAUCGCUGGAACUACCCGAUGAAGUCAUUCUUCCUUACAAAGUAGAUUCCGUUGCUAGGGCUGCCAUAACCAAAUGCCGCAGCCUGGGUGGCUUCAACAGAAUUUCAUUUCCCCACAGUCCUGGGAGCUGGAAGCCCAAGGUCCAGGUGUGAGCAGGGCUGGUUUCCCCUGAGGCCUCUCUCCUUCGCCUGCAGGCGCUAUCUUCCAAUUCAGCCAUUCGGAGGUCUUGGCGGUUGAAACUUCAAGACAGGAAUUUGGAGUGAGGACACAGUUCAUUCCAUACACAAAGACAGGAGCGGCUUCAUCCAGAACCCGGAAGGUCUGUCCCUCUACAGAAACCCAGAUCUAAUCGUGUCGCAUCCCACACCAGAUGGGAUCUCACUAUGUUGCCCAGGCUAGAGUGCAUUGGCUAUUCACAGACGAUCAUGAUGCAAUCAUAGUGCACCACAUCCUCAAACUCCUGGACUCAAGUGAUCCUCCCUCCACAGCCUCCCAAGUAGCUGAGACUGCAGGCACACGCCACUGCACCCAGCCCUGGACUAUUAACUUUUAUAUUUUUUAUAUCCAUAGAGUCAGGCAGCUUCUGAUGCAUAGUAACCAUGUAAUAAAUGUUGAAUGAAUAAAUGUGAAUGACCAUACCCAUACAUAGACAUAUGCAUUCAUAUAAAUCUCAGCUUCUCAUCUCAUUCUCCCAAGCAAUGCUAACAGCCUUGACAGCUUUUGACAAACUGAUUCACAACAAAGCCUUGAUUUUCCCAUCCAUGAAGUGGGGCUAAAAUAUGCCUAAAUCUACGGAUUGCCUUUAGAAUUCAGUCUCCUUCAAAAUUUCAAACUAAGGGUCUCACCCCCAUUAGCGCAUCACGAAG